CCUACGGGAGGCAGCAGUGGGGAAUAUUGGACAAUGGGCGAAAGCCUGAUCCAGCAAUGCCGCGUGAGUGAUGAAGGCCUUAGGGUUGUAAAGCUCUUUUACCAGGGAUGAUAAUGACAGUACCUGGAGAAUAAGCUCCGGCUAACUCCGUGCCAGCAGCCGCGGUAAUACGGAGGGAGCUAGCGUUGUUCGGAAUUACUGGGCGUAAAGAGUACGUAGGCGGUUAUUCAAGUCAGAGGUGAAAGCCCGGGGCUCAACCCCGGAACUGCCUUUGAAACUAGAUAGCUAGAAUCUUGGAGAGGUCAGUGGAAUUCCGAGUGUAGAGGUGAAAUUCGUAGAUAUUCGGAAGAACACCAGUGGCGAAGGCGACUGACUGGACAAGUAUUGACGCUGAGGUACGAAAGCGUGGGGAGCAAACAGGAUUAGAUACCCUGGUAGUCCACGCCGUAAACGAUGAUAACUAGUUGUUCGGGCACUUGGUGCCUGAGUGACGCAGCUAACGCAUUAAGUUAUCCGCCUGGGGAGUACGGUCGCAAGAUUAAAACUCAAAAUGAAAUUGAACGG
rnacentral:rRNA from 1 species